rnacentral:rRNA from 1 species
UACGUAGGGUGCAAGCGUUAUCCGGAAUUAUUGGGCGUAAAGAGCUCGUAGGCGGUUUGUCGCGUCUGCUGUGAAAACCCGAGGCUCAACCUCGGGCCUGCAGUGGGUACGGGCAGACUAGAGUGCGGUAGGGGAGAUUGGAAUUCCUGGUGUAGCGGUGGAAUGCGCAGAUAUCAGGAGGAACACCGGUGGCGAAGGCGGGUCUCUGGGCCGUAACUGACGCUGAGGAGCGAAAGCAUGGGGGAGCGAACAGG